UACGUAGGUGGCGAGCGUUGUCCGGAUUUACUGGGCGUAAAGGGCGUGCAGGCGGUUUGUUAAGUGCAGGGUGAAAGCUCCCGGCUCAACUGGGAGAGGUCCUUGUAUACUGUCGAACUCGAGGGAGGCAGAGGAAAGUGGAAUUCCCGGUGUAGUGGUGAUAUGCGUAGAUAUCGGGAGGAACACCUGUGGCGAAGGCGGCUUUCUGGGCCUUACCUGACGCUGAGACGCGAAAGCGUGGGGAGCGAACCGG
rnacentral:rRNA from 1 species